rnacentral:rRNA from 1 species
CCAGACUCCUACGGGAGGCAGCAGUGGGGAAUAUUGCACAAUGGGGGAAACCCUGAUGCAGCGACGCCGCGUGAGUGAAGAAGUGAUUCGUUAUGUAAAGCUCUAUCAGCAGGGAAGAAAAUGACGGUACCUGAGUAAGAAGCCCCGGCUAACUACGUGCCAGCAGCCGCGGUAAUACGUAGGGGGCAAGCGUUAUCCGGAUUUACUGGGUGUAAAGGGAGCGUAGACGGCGGUGCAAGCCAGAUGUGAAAGCCCGGGGCUCAACCCCGGGACUGCUCUGGAAACUGUGCAGCUAGAGUGCAGGAGAGGCAGGCGGAAUUCCUAGUGUAGCGGUGAAAUGCGUAGAUAUUAGGAGGAACACCGGUGGCGAAGGCGGCCUGCUGGACUGUAACUGACGUUGAGGCUCGAAAGCGUGGGGAGCAAACAGGAUUAGAUACCCCGGUAA